CCACAGGUCGGCGCGCUACGGUGACGACGGCAGCUUUGGAGCGCGCCACACAGCCUUCUCCUCCCACCCUCCGGCCCUGCGCUCAUAUAAGCGUGCUCAAAGGGACCGCAGGGGGGCGCCGGCAAACCGUCGCUGCGACGGAGAGCUUGGUGGUUAGAGUGACGUCGCGCGCCAAAGAGCGGGAGGAAGGGCUGCUCUGUGUGGCAGAGGCUUCUGGGAAACACCCUGCCCGCUCUGCCCUCCGCCCACGGCCCACUAUGCUUUCUGUGCGCCUGCGCCAUGCAGGGAUUUUGGGCUUCCCCUUUGGCGGCCUGGCGGAUUACACCGCGAAAGCUAUAAAAAGGGCUCCUGGAGGCCCGGGCUUGAGAUUUACGAGGCCGUUCGCCUGCAUCAGUAUCGCAGGGUGACGUUUAAAAGCGUGUCCGUACCCUGCGGGUUGUUUGCCCACCUGCCGUACAUUUGCGGGAAGGACGUAGCGUCCGCAGUGUGGGAGCCCAUCUGGCUCCGCUCUUGGAUAUUGACUGGGCGGGACCCUCAUCGCAUCCAGCCCAGGGGAGUACUCGCGAGCACAGGCCCACGCAAGAAAGUUGAACCUGCUCACGACUGAUUUAAAUAGCUCCACUUUGUGGACAGGUAGUGACGGUGUGUGUGUGUGUGUAUAUAUAUAUAUUUUUUUUUUUGCGGUACAGGGGAUUGAACUGAGGACCUUUCGCGUAUGAGGCAGGCGCGGCGCCACUGAGCUAACUCCCCAGCCCGGUGACAAUUUUUGCCAGUCUUCGACACCUGCCCUAGCGGUUCUUCACAGACUUCUUUGUGUUUUGCAAAGGCAUUGGCUUUUUGACCGUAUCAUUUUUCUUGGGGCGAUUUCAGGAACCCCCUGUCUUCUAUUGCUGCUCUCUGCAUCCGCCUCUUUUGAAGUGGUCUUGGCCUUCCCAGAACCUGGGAUGGAGCGCGCCGCCCUGCGGUCCUGGCUACCGGUCUCUGUCGCGUACUACCGCUGCGCGCCCUUUCCGGUCCAUGCCCUCUUCCCUUUCCGAGAUCCUGGGCCCCAGGAUCUUUCCUCCGGAGUUUCCCGACCUCCCUGGCUAUUGACCAUGCUCCUGCCGCUUUCCCGCAGGUUCCCAGACGUAGCUGGUCUAUGUGUUCCCUGCUCCCCGUACCUACCCGAGUCGUCGCUUCGGGGACACCCUCAUCCUGUGUGCCUUGUUAAAUCUUCCAAGUGCCUGUCUUACACUGAGGAUUGGGAUGGUGUCUGCCAGGUUCCUGACAGGGCCGAGCAUUUAAAUACCUGCUUAAGGAACACAAGUGACAACCUCUCUGGUUUUGCAAGCAAGUAAACAGCUGAUGUGAAAAUGUUGAUGUCUAUUAUAAAGCACAAUGCAUACUAAGAAUUUACUACUUAUUUUAUUGUUAUUUUACGUUCCUGUUAACUACACACUGUAUAAAAGAAACUCCUGACAAAACAACAAGACCAGUAAGAUGUCAAGUAUGUCCUACAAAAAGGCCAGGAAACCAAAACACGUGAGCUGUCAUUGUAAGCAAUCUGUGUGUAUGGAAUGCACUGUUGUCUUAUGUGUAGACUACCUUACAUGUGAUUAUUGAAGUAAAGAUUGUAUUUUGGAAAGUGCUAUUGGUAUUUUCAUUGUAG
ensembl:lncRNA